rnacentral:tRNA from 1 species
GAAGUUUAAGUUAACAUUUUAAACCCAGGGCCUUCAAAGCCCUAAAUAGGGGACUAAUUCCUAACUUCUG